GAGGAGGAGCUCGAGGACCUACCUUUGCCAAUUCAGGGAAGUGGAGGAAGGGGCUGUCUUCAUGGGGUUCUGUGCCUGCAGCAACGCUCCGGCCCAGAGAAGAGGGGCAGGUGACUGCUGCCUGUGGCUGGGAGGAUGACAGGCCAAGGUGUGAGUGGUGCCUGAUGAGAGCAGCCGUGGCGACUUCAGCAGGCGUCUAUUAGAUGCUGAGGGAGCCCAAGUCUGAGUGAACACAACUGCACCAACAGCACAGGAUGGGAAAUCCUGCUGGGUUCCGAGCGUAAGUACCUGGGGUCACACCCAGAAAGUGGGGGGUGGCAGCCAGGGCUGAGGGGAUGGGGGUGCAAGGGGAGUCUGUGGAGGGAAGAUAAAGUCCUGGAGGUGGAUGGGGACAGUGUUUGCACUACUGUGUCAAUGUCCUUCACGCCGCCAAACUGUACACUUAAAAAUAGCAAAAAGGUAUAUUUUAUCUCACAUAUAUUUUAUCUCAAGAAAAAUCAAUUAAAAGAAAAAAAGAGUAAGACAGAGAAAGGAAAUGGGACAAGAAGUGGUGGUUGAGAAGAAGGUGCUUUUAAAACACUAACACUCUGGGGGCACCCGGGUGGCCCAGGGCGUGAUCCUGGAGUCCCGGGAUCGAGUCCCAUGUCAGGCUCUCUGCAUGGAGCCUGCUUCUCCCUCUGCCUGUGUCUCUGCCUCUCUCUCUCUCUCUGUGUCCCACGAAUAAAUAAAUAAAUAAAAUCUUUAAAAAAACCACCGUUGCCGGUGUGAAGCCUGAGGGGUCGGCACCCAGGCCACCGCUGGCACUUCCGGACUCAGACACUGAGAGGCCAGAGGCCGGGUGUCGUUUGGGGGCAUCUCCGUGCAGCCGGACCUCAGGCCCAAAUUAAAUCACCAGAUCACACUGGCCUCUCUGCUCCCCUCCUCGUCUCCCUGGUGGCAUCCCUGCCCCUCAAAGCCACAGCUGGCUGACCUCCCAGCUUCCGGGGACCCCGGGGCCACGAGGUGUGCGCCCGCCACACAGGAGCCCCUGCACGGAGCCCAGGAAUGCCAGCCCAGCUGGGCAAGGGGCCAGCAGCAGAGAGCAAGCGACUGUUAGCUCAACACCCAGGAGGGACGAGGACAGCGCAGGGCUGGAGGGGCCCCACACUCUCCGGGGCCCGUGUCCCCCGCAUUCGCUGCCCCUGCCCCCCCGACUGGCUGUGUGUCAGCUUCCAGCCCGGAGGCCCCGACGGCUCCCCUCUGCAGCCCUCACGGCCUGGAGGCGCAGUGCGCAGCCCCCUCCACCGCACACCGCGCAGCCGGGGACGCGGCCAGGACCCGGGAGGGGAAGGAAUCGGUGACGCCGGUCGGGUAUAGAGGUAGCACCACCCUUUCCGUGUGGAAUAAAUCUUGAAGGGAGGAAAAAAACCCACAUGAGAUCAUUUCUGCAGCUCUGACCAAAACCUGGGGAGCCCGUUCAGCGAACUGAAACUGUGUCACUGAAUUCCUCGGCUGCCUCCCUUGGCCCGAGAGGCCAGGCCCCAGCCUAGAUGCGGCAGCUUGGCAAUGCCUGCAGGGGAGGGAACAGGAGCCCGGUGCCCUCUUAGCCCCCCCGGGCCCCACAGCACCUUUCUAGGUUCUGAGCCUCAGAGCUGACUCCUCCAUCCUCCGACUGGCCUCCCAUCAAUGUGGACUCAGGUCAGUAGGAGCAGAAGCACGAGGGGAUCCUGACUCCUCAGCAUCUUUCCAGAAGGUUCCCAACACCAACAUUCCCCCUCCAGCCCGUCUCUCCAGCAGCCUCCCUCUUCAGCCCCAGCCCCUUCCUAAAACAAUAUGCACCCCUACCAACCACAUGAUGUUCCAGACCUUGACAGCAGCCCAACAUCAGGCAUGGACAGGACCCAAGGGGGCAAAGCACGCAGGGAUUAUGUGCCUUGUGGCAGGGGCAGGCUUGCUGCACACUCAGUAACACAGGAUGACGGCUCAAAACAUGACAGGGCUCAGAAGUUUCACAGAGGACCAGAGCUACAGCCAGCCAUGUAGGGACCACCCCACAUCCUGGCAGCUGGGAGCACCAACCACACGUUCCAAGCUCCAGUUAGGUCAGAAAGACCCCAGCUAAAAUCAAACACAGAUGAAGAUGGGACUAGAAAAUUCCCGGGCAGACUAAACCAGUUCGGUCACACUCGCAGUUUCAUUUAGCUCAUUUUGCAAGACAAGGGAGGCUAAUAUCUGGGUGACCUCUUGCUUCUGCCUCUGAAAAUUCACUAAGUAAAACUUACAUUGUUCUCUAGAAUUGAUAUGAGGCAGCCACUAACCAAUUCCCCCUUCAUUUAAGAAAAUCCUGAUAUUGUAACCGAUCACCAAGAAGAAUAACCGGGCACCACUUCUGCUUCCACCUUACAUAAGCGGCUUUAGAGCAAUAGACCUCCGGGCCUCCUUCCUUGUUCCAGUUUGAGUGCUCCUGGCUUACACACUGUCUUUCUGGUGCAUGUGCACAAUAGACCUUUACCAAUUACCAUUUCAGUGACUUGUUGGUUUUACUUUAGGUUUUUUGGGUUUUGCGUUUUUUUUUUUUUUUUUUUUUUGGAAACUUUUGACACCCUGGAGGAAGCCUUUGGAACAGGAACUGUGCUCUCCACCCAGGAGGAGACCCAAAUAGGGCAAUUGUCCCUAUGCCUGUCAUAUCCACCCAAGGAGCAAGAGAAAGCAGAGGACCUAAGGCAAGAAAGCCUCAGGAUACCACAGGUGUGCCUCUUAGGCCUUGUGGGCCUUGAUAACUUGUCAGAAUCUCAUUUUCCCCAUCUGCAAGAAUGAAACUAAUGAAAACCCACAGGCUGACUGUAUUAAAAGUGAAAAUGAGGGGUACCUGGCUGGCUCCAUUGGAAGAGCAUGUGACCUUUGAUCUUGGGGUUAGGGGUUCGAGCCCCAGGUUAGGUGGAGAGAUUACUCAAAAAUAAAAUCUUAGAAAAAAAAAGAGAAAAUAAGAAAACACUCUCUCUGAGGUCUUUGUAACAACCGUGGCAAUAAUUAUCCAGCUCCUUGGUUAAUCAACAUGAUUUUAUCAAUCACCUACUGCAUGCCAAGGACAUUCCACACAUUGCCUCAUAAUAUCUUCACAAGAACCCCAAGGGGAAGAUAUCAUUCCCAUUUUAUGGACGAGGAAAUGGAGACUGGACUGGGAGGUUAAUCAUUUGCUCAAAGUUGCAUCACCAGAUGACAAUACACUUGUAGGUGUGGGGCUUCCAAAGCCCAGGCUCUCUGCUCUCCAGGACUUUGCCCCAGCUCUCGGCAGGAGACAUACAGGAGAGACACAAACACAACGCACGUGCAUUCCAUGAGAACGAGGGUAAUAACAGAAGGUGUAGACUCAGGCUGGAGGAGCUCAGCCUGCAGGAGAUCAGCGGAGCCGAGGCGCGAGGCGCCGGGGAGCUCUGUGCAGCAGGUGAGAGCCGCCCAGCCUCUCCUGGGUGGGAGAGACAGGCAAGCGAACAUCAGAAGCCAGGGCCCGGUGGCCAUUGAGGCCUAGAGCCCACUGAGGCCAAGGCGAGGGCUGGGCAUGGUUGGGGCAGGGCGCCUGAUGGGGAAGAAGUGGGCUUGGUAAGAGAUGGCUCGGAGGCUGGGGGGCAAGUCUCUGGGGAUGCUCCUUUCUUCUAGAAACUCAUCUCCCCACACCCCACCCAGGGCACAACUACACCUCAGCCAAGUUUGCCUUUAUCUUCUGCAGCUUCUCCAUCUUCACCUUUUGACCCCAGGAGGAUUCCUCUCCUGUCUAAGCUUCCCAGGCCUUCGGGCUCCCCAUUCUUCCCUCAGUUUUCAAAUAUCCCUGAGCGAUAGAAUCUGCAUGGAGAUUUUUUUUUUAAGAUUUUAUUUAUUGAUUCCUGAGAGACACAGAGAGGGAGGCAGAGACACAGGCGGAGGGAGAAGCAGGCUCCCAAGUCCCGAUGCAGGACUUGAUCCCAGGACCCUGGGAUCACACCCUGAGCCGAAAGGAGAUGCUCAACCGCUGAGCCACCCAGAUGCCCCCUGCACCGAGAUUUUUAAUUACACAGAUGUGGAUUUUCUAAAAAUGCAAUUUCUCUUCGUCUGGAGACAUUGGGGACACAAAGCUGCCUGAGGUGAAAGCCUGGACCAAGAUAAAGCUUCUGAUCUUCAAACUCCAUUCUUGGCCCCGGCAAUUGGGAGCAUCACGGCCGCAGGUGCUGACCACUAUCUCGCACGUGUCCUGUGUCUGGACUGGCGGGCUGGAUCUCCUUGCUCAGCAUCACGAUGCCCAGCACUGCAUGUCCCUGGACCCUCAGGCACGUUCUUCAGCAAAGUUGACUUUUGGACCCUGAACAGUGAAAACCUGUAGCUCUUAGAGCCAGGCUGUAUACAGAAUAAGUUUGUAAACUGCUAUUCGCUACAAGGCCCGUCAACAGAGCUCGUCUUAUGCCCCUCAGGUCAGCCCUCAGAGGCUCUUAGCCUUGGUUUCCAUGUCUUGAGUUGAAAAUAAAUAAUAAAGACUUACAUGUUUUUUGGAAGGA